UCCGCAUUAGCUCAGUGGUAGAGCUAUCGGCUGUUAACCGUACGGUCGAAGGUUCGAGUCCUACCUGCGGAGCCA
rnacentral:tRNA from 1 species